rnacentral:lncRNA from 1 species
GAGGAGCACAAGAAGAAGCACCCAGAUGCCUCAGUCAGCUUCUCAGAGUUUUCUAAGAAGUGCUCAGAGAAGUGGAAGAUCACGUCUGCUGAAGAGAAAGGAAAAUUUGAAGACAUGGCAAAGGCUGACAAGGCCUGUUAUGAAAGAGAAAUUAAAACUUACAUCCAUUCUAAAAGAAAGAAGUUCAAGUAUCCCAAUGCACUCAAGAGGCUUCUUUGGCCUUUUUCUAAUUUUGUGCUUAAUAUUGCCCCAAAAUCAAAGGUGGACAUCCUAGCCUCUUCACUGGUGAUGUUGCAAAGAAACUGGGAGUGAUGUGGAAUAACACUGCUACAGAUGACAAGCAGCCUUAUGAGAAGAAGGCUACUAAGCUGAAGGAAAAGUACAAAAAGGAUAUUACUGCAUACCAGAUGCAGCAAAAAAAAAAAAAAAGAAAGGAAGUCAUCAAGGCUGAAGAAAGCAAGAAAAAAAGGAAGAGGAGGAAGGUAAGAGGAUGAGGAGGAGGAAGAAGACCAUAAUGAAUAA